AGAGAGGCCAGCCCCCAUUCCUGCGGUUCCCUGGGGAGCUGGCUUUCAGCAGGGUUUAGAGCAGCACGAAAAGUGAACUGACCCUGGAAAAAUGGUAAUCUUCACAUCUCUGAGCAUAUGGAACUCCAGCCUCUUCCUGGACACCUGAUGAUCCCCCUGGGAUGGGCUCAGGUUCUGAAAACACAGAACUGUGAGCACGUUGCAUAUCCCAAGCCAGCAGCACGGAAACCUCAGAUGCUGAGGCUACGAUGGGCGCUUGUUCUCUCUCAACCUUCUCUUUCUCUCUCUCCUUUCUUUUCUUCCCUUAAUUCCUUCUUCCUUCCUUCCUUCCAAGAUUUAUACUAUUACCUUUUAGGCAAAACAUCCUGAAUAUGUAGAAUAAAGUAAUGAAAAU